AGGAUUAACGCUGGCGGCGUGCAUGAAACAUGCAAGUCGAGCGCGGUGUGAUGCGGGGUAACCCAAUUCACAUCUAGCGGCGAACGGGUGAGUAACACGUGAGCAACCUACCUUUGAGUUGGGGAUAGCCCUGGGAAACCAGGAUUAAUACCCGAUGUGGUCACAACAGGACAUCCUGAUGUGAGUAAAGGCGUAAGCCGCUCAAUGACGGGCUCGCGGCCUAUUAGCUUGUUGGUGGGGUAACGGCCUACCAAGGCGAUGAUGGGUAGCUGGUCUGAGAGGACGAUCAGCCACACUGGGACUGAGACACGGCCCAGACUCCUACGGGAGGCAGCAGUCGAGAAUUUUUCCAAUGGGGGAAACCCUGAAGGAGCGACGCCGCGUGGAGGAUGAAGGUCUUCGGAUCGUAAACUCCUGUCAUGAGGAACAAACCUACAUGUUUAACUGAUGUGUAGCUGAUAGUACCUCAAGAGGAAGGGACGGACUAACU
rnacentral:rRNA from 1 species